rnacentral:antisense_RNA from 1 species
CACUCACGCCAGGCAGAAAGCCACACCUGCAGGAGCCUGCUCCCCACCCAAUGCCAGGGGCGGAAAUGUGGACAGAGGGCGACUUCUCCGCCAGCCUGGCGGGGGCCUGCAGCAAGCUCGCCGAUGCCCUCUGCGCCUGCUGGGCCCGCAGGGGCCUGACAAGCACUACUGUCUCCGGGCUACAGAGGACACCGGGGCUCAGAGCUGGACAACUGGCCCAAGCCCAGGCCGCACAUCGCGCAGCAGACAGUCUGCCGCACUCUGCGGGAGGUCACCCUGGGGCUGCUGUCCCUGCUCUGGCCCCCGCCCCAGCACCGCGGGCAAUCUAACAGGAAGGGGCAGGGGCCAGUUCUCUCUGGGACUCGGGCAGCGUCAAAGAUAAGGUGUCUUCAAAAAGCUCAUGGAAAACGUGUGUUGUGACGAAACUUGCAUGGCUUUCAAGUUUUCUGCCCCGAAAUAAACUGAUACUAACUUGUCA